UACAGGCGCUACGAACCGGAGCAAGGGUCAGAUUUAAAGAAUAUGCUUUCAUUCUGCGCUAUAAGGGAAUAUAUACGUAUAGAUACCGAUCAUAACUGUGCAUUUUGUUUUCACAGACUAAUCUCGCCUCAUAAUGAGACGGUGACCUCGUAUUUGCUCCGGGAAAAGUCCAGAUUUAGACGACGUCAUUGUGUCCGCCUGUGAGACGUAUUGUGAGACGGGACGCAGGAGCUUCAGGUUCAGCCGGAACACUCAUUGUGAGCGGAAGCUGCGAAGGAUUCAGCGCGGAGUCGAGCGAGAAGAAAGAGGGUCAGAGUUUAUUUGCUGACUUGUUUCAGGUGCCGUGAUCGAUGUGUUGUGUCCGUACGCAUCGCAUCGCACAGUACUGAUUCAUUGUUGUUUUUACAGCUGCUGGAAUCGAGACAAAGUGCGCUGGCUGAUGACGAGGUGGAACGCUGGAAAUCCGCCACCGUGGAGCUCACGUCGGACGGAGGGGACGGCGUUGUUGGCGGGGUCUCGGGGUGGAUUUGACGGUCAACAACCCCGAGGAGGCAAACGGACAGUUUACUGAGCUGUAGUUUUUAAACCGCCGUUACCCAAGUGUGGGCAGAUCCUCACUUUGUAUGUAGUUGUUGUUUGUGUGUUGUUAAUAAAGCUUUUUCUUUGCAUAAA
ensembl:lncRNA